GAUAAAACGCUGACAGAAAUGCUUAAACACAUGCAAGUCGAUGAUGGGGAGCUAAGCUUGCUAGAAAGAAAGUCAUGGCGGACGGGUGAGUAACGUGUAAAGAACUUACCAUAUAGACUGGGAUAACAGAGGGAAACUUCUGAUAAUACUGGAUAAGUUAGUAGUAGCAUACUAAGUAAUGAAAAGGUAGCAAUACGCUAUAUGAGAGCUUUUGCAUCCUAUUAGCUAGUUGGUGGGGGUAAAAGCCCUACCCAAGGCGAUGAUAGGGUAGCCGGCCUGAGAGGGUGGACGGCCACAAGGGGACUGAGAUACGGCCCUUACUCCUACGGGAGGCAGCAGUGGGGAAUAUUGGACAAUGGAGGCAACUCUGAUCCAGCAAUUCUGUGUGUGUGAAGAAGGUUUUAGGACUGUAAAACACUUUUAGUAGGGAAGAAAGAAAUGACGGUACCUACAGAAGAAGCGACGGCUAAUACGUGCCAGCAGCCGCGGUAAU
rnacentral:rRNA from 1 species